CUCGCCGGGGGAUGCGGCGGCGGCGGGAGCGGCAGCGGCAGCAGCAGCAGCGGCGGCAGCGCGGAGUCCCCUGCGCCCCGCGGCCCGGCCGGGCUGCGGCAGAGGCGGUGGCGCCCCGCGCCUGGUGAGGCCGCCGGGACCGUGCGCGCUGAUUUGUGAGUAAAGAGGGACGAGGGAAAAGAAACAAAACCGCAGACCCAACUUCAGACUCCUGCAUCCCAAAAGAAGCACCAGAUCAGCCAAAAAAGAAGAUGGGCCCCCCGAGCCUCGUGCUGUGCUUGCUGUCCGCAAUGGUAUUCUCCCUGCUGGGUGGAAGCUCAGCCUUUCUGUCGCACCACCGCCUGAAAGGCAGGUUUCAGAGGGACCGCAGGAACAUCCGCCCCAACAUCAUCCUGGUGCUGACAGACGACCAGGACGUGGAGCUGGGUUCCAUGCAGGUGAUGAACAAGACCCGGCGCAUCAUGGAGCAGGGCGGGGCGCACUUCAUCAACGCCUUCGUGACCACGCCUAUGUGCUGCCCCUCGCGCUCCUCUAUCCUCACCGGCAAGUACGUCCAUAACCACAACACCUACACCAACAACGAGAACUGCUCCUCGCCCUCCUGGCAGGCGCAGCACGAGAGCCGCACCUUCGCCGUGUACCUCAAUAGCACCGGCUACCGGACAGCUUUCUUCGGAAAGUAUCUUAAUGAAUACAACGGCUCCUACGUGCCGCCCGGCUGGAAGGAGUGGGUCGGACUUCUUAAAAACUCCCGCUUUUAUAACUACACGCUGUGUCGGAACGGGGUGAAAGAGAAGCAUGGCUCCGACUACUCCAAGGAUUACCUCACAGACCUCAUCACCAACGACAGCGUGAGCUUCUUCCGCACAUCCAAGAAGAUGUACCCGCACAGGCCAGUCCUCAUGGUCAUCAGCCAUGCAGCCCCCCACGGUCCUGAGGAUUCAGCCCCACAAUAUUCACGCCUCUUCCCCAAUGCAUCUCAGCACAUCACGCCGAGCUACAACUAUGCGCCCAACCCGGACAAACACUGGAUCAUGCGCUACACGGGGCCCAUGAAGCCCAUCCACAUGGAAUUCACCAACAUACUCCAGCGGAAGCGCUUGCAGACCCUCAUGUCGGUGGACGACUCCAUGGAGACGAUUUACAACAUGUUGGUUGAGACGGGCGAGCUGGACAACACGUACAUCGUGUACACCGCCGACCACGGCUACCACAUCGGCCAGUUUGGCCUGGUCAAAGGGAAAUCCAUGCCGUACGAGUUUGACAUCAGGGUCCCGUUCUAUGUGAGGGGCCCCAACGUGGAAGCUGGCUCUCUGAAUCCCCACAUCGUCCUCAACAUUGACCUGGCCCCCACCAUCCUGGACAUUGCAGGCCUGGACAUACCCGCGGAUAUGGACGGGAAAUCCAUCCUCAAGCUACUGGACACGGAGCGGCCGGUGAAUCGGUUUCACUUGAAAAAGAAGAUGAGGGUCUGGCGGGACUCUUUCCUGGUGGAGAGAGGCAAACUGCUACACAAGAGAGACAAUGACAAGGUGGACGCCCAGGAGGAGAACUUUCUGCCCAAGUACCAGCGUGUGAAGGACCUGUGUCAACGCGCUGAGUACCAGACGGCGUGUGAGCAGCUGGGACAGAAGUGGCAGUGUGUGGAGGACGCCACGGGGAAGCUGAAGCUGCAUAAGUGCAAGGGCCCCAUGCAACUGGGUAGCAGCAGAGCCCUCUCCAACCUCGUGCCCAAGUACUACGGGCAGGGCAGCGAGGCCUGCACCUGUGACAGCGGGGACUACAAGCUCAGCCUGGCCGGACGCCGGAAAAAGCUCUUCAAGAAGAAGUACAAGGCCAGCUACGCCCGCAAUCGCUCCAUCCGCUCAGUGGCCAUCGAGGUGGACGGCAGGGUGUACCACGUAGGCCUGGGUGAUGCCGCCCAGCCCCGAAACCUCACCAAGCGGCACUGGCCAGGGGCCCCUGAGGACCAAGAUGACAAGGAUGGUGGGGACUUCAGUGGCACCGGAGGCCUUCCCGACUACUCAGCCGCCAACCCCAUUAAAGUGACACAUCGCAGGUGCUACAUCCUGGAGAACGAUACAGUCCAGUGUGACCUGGACCUGUACAAGUCCCUGCAGGCCUGGAAGGACCACAAGCUGCACAUCGACCACGAGAUUGAAACCCUGCAGAACAAAAUUAAGAACCUGAGGGAAGUCCGAGGUCACCUGAAGAAAAAGCGGCCAGAAGAAUGUGACUGUCAUAAAAUCAGCUACCACACCCAGCACAAAGGCCGCCUCAAGCACAAAGGCUCCAGUCUGCAUCCUUUCAGGAAGGGUCUGCAAGAGAAGGACAAGGUGUGGCUGUUGCGGGAGCAGAAGCGCAAGAAGAAACUCCGCAAGCUGCUCAAGCGCCUGCAGAACAACGACACGUGCAGCAUGCCAGGCCUCACGUGCUUCACCCACGACAACCAGCACUGGCAGACGGCGCCUUUCUGGACACUGGGGCCUUUCUGUGCCUGCACCAGCGCCAACAAUAACACGUACUGGUGCAUGAGGACCAUCAACGAGACUCACAAUUUCCUCUUCUGUGAAUUUGCAACUGGCUUCCUAGAGUACUUUGAUCUCAACACAGACCCCUACCAGCUGAUGAAUGCAGUGAACACACUGGACAGGGAUGUCCUCAACCAGCUACAUGUACAGCUCAUGGAGCUGAGGAGCUGCAAGGGUUACAAGCAGUGUAACCCCCGGACUCGAAACAUGGACCUGGGACUUAAAGAUGGAGGAAGCUAUGAGCAAUACAGGCAGUUUCAGCGUCGAAAGUGGCCAGAAAUGAAGAGACCUUCUUCCAAAUCACUGGGACAACUGUGGGAAGGCUGGGAAGGUUAAGAAACAACAGAGGUGGACCUUCAAAAACAUAUAGAGGCAUCACCUGACUGCACAGGCAACAAAAAACCAUGUGGGUGAUUUCCAGCAGACCUAUGCUACUGGCCAGGAGGCCUGAGAAAGCAAGCACUCACUCUCAGUCAACAUGGCAGAUUCUGGAGGAUAACCAGCAGGAGCAGAGAGAACUUCAAGAAGUCCAUUUUUGCCCCUGCUUUUGCUUUGGAUUAUACCUCACCAGCUGCACAAAAUGCAUUUUUUUUCCGUAUCAAAAAGUCACCACUAACCCUCCCCAGAAGCUCACAAAGGAAAACGAAGAGAGUGAGUGAGAUUUCCUUGGAAAUUUCCCCCAAGGGCAAAAGUCAUUGGAAUUUUUAAAUCAUAGGGGAAAAGCAGUCCUGUUCUAAAUCUUCUUAUUCUUUCGGUCACAAAGAAGGAACUAAGAAGCAGGACAGAGGCAACGUGGAGACGCUGAAAACAGUGCAGAGAGUUUGACAAUGAGUCAGUAGCACAAAAGAGAUGACAUUUACCUAGCACUAUAAACCCUGGUUGCCUCUGAAGAAACUGUCUUCACUGUAUAUAUGUGACUAUUUACAUGUAACCAACAUGGGAACUUUUAGGGGAACCUAAUAAGAAAUCCCAAUUUUCAGGAGUGGUAGUGUCAAUAAACGCUCUGUGGCCAGUGUAAAAGAAAAUCCUUCACAGUUGUGGACAUUUCUGUUCCUGUCCAGAUACCGUUUCUCCUAGUAUUUGUUAUGUCCCAGAACUGAUGUUUUUUUUUUUUAAGGUACUGAAAAGUAGUUGAUGUAUGUCCCAAGUUUUGAUGAAACUGUAUUUGUAAAAACAAUUUUGUAUAAGUAUUGUCAUACAGUGUUCAAAACCCCAGCCAAUGACCAGCAGUUGGUAUGAAGAAACCUUUGACAUUUUGUAAAAGGCCAUUUCUUGGGAGUUUUUUGGUGUGUCUGUUUUUUUAAAGUAUUCAAGAUACUACCAGUCAACAUCUUUUUGGAAGAAAAUGCCUUUGGGUUUAGAAGAUUUUCUUAAAAGGGGAGUAGAUGGUUGUAGAAUGACUAAAGUCUACCAUACUUCAAGGGACUACAGGUAAGUCUCAUAGUAUACCAGCUUGGCUACUUCAUUUUUUAAAAGUAUUAGUCAAUUGCAAAGAAAUUCACCUUGGCCAACCCUUCUUUGUAUAUCAGGUAAUCUAACCUGAUACAAGUAGUUGACAGAUUUCGGCUAUCACCAAUCCAACCCAUUUCUCAUUUAACAGAUGACAGAGAUAAUCCCUAAAGCACCCACAUUUGUUUCAAUGCCCCCAACAGGCCAAGGCUCCCUAGCAACUCCCUAGUGGCGUUUUUUAACUUCAGAAACUGUUACCAUUAUUUGAAAUAGACUUCCUUAAUCUUCUUUACCCUUAAUCCAACAGGGAUUAAAAAACAAAACAAAACAAAACUCUUCAGGCUCCAAUUUUAAAUAGAAACCUUUAUUUACAAUGACAUCCAAAAUGGUCAGCAAAGCAGUCACAGCUCACCAUCCCCCAUAAGUCAUUUCAUGUGGUUUCGAUUCUUUGCAGGAUAAAGAAUAAUUUCUUUUUUUUUUUAAAGCAACACAAUGUAAACUUGAUUGAAACUGAAUUCAUUCUCAAGAGUGUAAGUCAAUUCCUGAGAAUUUAAAUAUUGCUCUCAUAUUUCAUUCUUCAAAAUUCCAUAUAUUAGAAAGGAAGAGAGAAAACACCUGCUCGGUUAUUAACAGUGUGCCCUUGGAGUUGAAAACAAUUCUUGUUCCUCUGAUUAAAUCAAUCCUUGAGGUUUUGCUCCUAUGAACCUAAUUGUGAACAAAACUCACAGCUUCUGCAAAUAAAAACAGGCAUACAUGUAACUGGCAAUCCAUUCUGUUUACUUUCAGCUGCACCUACCUCUGGAUCAAAGAACUUCUAGGACAUCAAGCCAAUUAUCUUCUGUAAUACCCUACCCCAAUAUAGAUACCCCCAACUCACCUCAGAUAUUAAAUACUGAUAACUAAGUAGCACUGUUAUAGAUAUUUACACCUUUCAAUCCAGAUGCAGUUUAGAAAAGUGGCAUCAUAAUAUGAACAUUAACAAAGUAACUUCCAUUUAUUUUUUAAAGGAAGAAACAUGUAUCUCCUUUAUAUCAUUCUAAUCUUUAUAAAAUAUAUAUUUUUUAUUUAUAUAUCUUUGGAUUCAGCAAAAAAAAAAAAAAAAAGUAGGUACUGGAAAUAUCCCACAUUCUAAAAGCAGAUGAAAAGAUUAUACUGUUCACCCAACAGAUACCAAGGUCUGAAAAAAUGGGGGGUGCUGGGGUGUGAGGAGAGGUAGACAGCAGGAGUACAAAGAAUUAUCUUAAAAAGAUAAAGGGCAAUACAGGUAAAAACAAAUUAUCUCAAAGACUGCACCUAUUAAAAGAAAAUCAAAAUCUUGAGUUUGCACCAAAUGAACAAGUAGAAAAUAUAAAAACUUAUAAUAAACUUCAUUUUUCUACCAUAUAAAAAAGGGAGUGCUGCCUUCCAGUUAGCCUGCAGCCAGGUCUGAGGAAAGGAUUGCAAAAAAAUUUAUUAUUUUUUUAAAUAAUUUUUUAAAGUCAAGAAAGGUAAGAGCACCAUUCUGUUUCUCCCCACACACAUCACUUGAAGGUUCAGACACAAUUGAGCUGAAAAACACAGAGACAGACUGACUUGGUUGUGCCUCUGUCUCCAAACAGGAGAGUAGACGAUCUGAAAAGCACAGGCCACUACAAUGGAAGUUUUCAGAUUUACAAUCUUAAGAUAUAUUUUGAAGUUGGUGGGGGGAAGAGGGCAAACUCAUAAUUGUCUAUACUGCUUUGAAAAUAAGAUCCACUCUAGUGGUGGAUCUGGAAAUAAUCAGGAUUCACUUGUAAGCAUAUCAAAGAUAUUAAAUGAUCUUACCUUCAGAGACAUCUAGAAAGACUAAAUGUGUGAAAUUCUUAAAAUUAACUGGCUCUCAGUUAUUGCUAGAAAAUGACACCAAGGCUAGCAGAGACCUCUGAAAUUCACAGACAUUCAGAAACCCAAUUCCUUCAACUAUCUGAACCAAAUGAAGUAACCCAGAUAAAGGGAAUUAAACUUCAUGUUUCCCUUCCUCCCAACUGACUGAAACAGGUGUCAAAGAGAGGCAACAGCAGAAAGUGGCAGGGGGCAAAAGAGGGAGGGGUUUCAAAGGUGCUCAGUUAGACUGUGGCUCUGAAUCACAGUCAAACUGGCUGUGCUGGGUACUGAGUUCCUUAAGAAGUAACAGUGACACUAUUCUAUCCACAGGGACAUAAUGAAAGCAUCACAUUAGUAUCAUGAGGGGACAGCUGAGCAGACACCAGAAACCACACCAAGGAUUCUACUCGAGAUCUCAAUGUGGGAUUCGGGUCUUAGCAACCAAAAUCUGAAAACGCUCCUAAAGGGGAUGAAAAGCCAUUUGGACAUCCAUGACAGUUCCUGGAGGUGAAGUAUUACAGGACAUGAACGGCAAAUGAAAACCUUCAUUAGGAGAAAACCUAGGACAAAUAAUAGGGACAGAGCAACUCAACACCAUCAGUAAAGGACAAUUCAGAAUCACCAAUUCCACUGGACAGAGGGUCAACACAGAACUACUUGGUAGUGACAAAAACACCUGAGGGCUGGGACUAUGCUCUUUGUCCAAUACUGCAACUAGAGAAACCAGAUGUUCUAAUCUCUCUCGAUUCGUCCAAUGUUCUCUGGCCCACCUAUGUAUAUUUAAGAGACUUUGGCUAGCAAGGCAGAAAAAAGUGACACAAAAGUUUUAUGAUCAGUAGCAUGCCAUAUCUCCAGAAUUAUAUCCCUAGGAGGUGGAAUGCCAAAAAAUAUUUCUGUUUUGAACGCCAUGAUACACAGCAGGAGGGGAGGAAAAAAACAGGUAGAUACUGCCCUUUGGCUUAAAAUCCAGUCCUGCUCAAAUGACAUCACUUAAAAUACCCUUGACGGAGCUCAAAGCUGGUCCUUUCUUCAAAGAUAGAUGCCUGGAACAAUGAUUCCUCCCCAAUAAUCCUAGUGCAGUGUCAUUUGUACAGUGGUUUCCUUAAGAGGUCCUGGUGCAGAGAUGUCAGCAGUAUUUCUGUUAGCAACCAGAAAAACUGAGUAAAACACAUGCUUUACACAACAAAAAAAACCCAUGCCCACAUUCAUGGCUUACAGUGCAGCUCUGGCUGAGUGAUUCAGAUUCCUGAGAUCCCAUCUUACAAUGCAGCUUGGCUUACCAAAGUAUCCAGUGGCCCAAUGCCUUCAAACCAUCCAAUGGCCCAAUGCCUUCAAACCAAGUUUUUUCAAUUACUGUAUUUUAAGUUAUACAUUCAAGUUAAAAUAUACCUAGGACAUUCUGAUUAUAGCUGACGCUUUAGUUCUAUCCAGAGAACAAGAAAAACUUUUUGAAAAAGGUAAGGAAUCGAUUUCAUACCUGAUCAGGGCCCAUAGGCAUGCCAGACAUGGGCAUGGGGUUCAUGUUCAUCUGUCCCAUGUGACCACUGCUGCCAUUCAUGUGCACCAUACUAUACACUGCAGGAUUCCCCUGGUGGGCAAACUGCUGCUGGGAAAAGGAGCUGUAAGUAAAGAAACGGUAAUAUUACCUCUGGAAGUCACUUUAGCGACACAGUAAACUACUACAAUUGUGUCAAAUAUUGCUAUACUUAAGCUGGGAAUGUCAGAGAGAAAACUCCCUGACAGCCUGUGAUUCAUUUUUCACAGCUUUCUGUACUAGAUACCCUAAUAGAUAAUGUGCAUGCUUGAAGAACUCUCAAAAUGGACAAGCCAAAUAACACACCUUCUAAUAUGAACCCAGUCCUUUGAAUCUCUCCAUACAAAAAGGCGUGACUGAAAAUUACAGGAAGGUCUUGGACUUCUGGGACUAAGAUGUGACUAACUUUAGAAGUCACUGUUCUUUACCUGUUCCUGGCCAAAUUUCCUGAUGGCCAGCCCUUCAUUUCUGAGGACUGAUAGAUGGAUGCAGCCUGGGGGUGUUGCAUCAUGGGAUUCUGGGAGGGACCCAUUCUUGACGAUAUCAUUGCACUGGGAGGACUAGACACUCGACCAAAGGCUGGAUCUGGUUGUUGUCCCAUUCCUUACAAAAAUAAAACAGAAGAAAUAAAAAUGCCCAAAUGCCUUCUCCUUAGAA